rfam:Salmo salar isolate Sally breed double haploid chromosome ssa17, whole genome shotgun sequence.
UGUAUUCACUACUGUAAGUUGCUCUGGAUAAGAGUGCCUGCUAAAUGACUAAAA